rnacentral:lncRNA from 1 species
GUAUUUGCCUUCUUAUUGCCACAUUUGCAUUGCUUAAAUGUCUUUGUAUGAAAUUGUGCUCCCCAGGGUGAACAAGGCAUUGCAGGAGAGCAAGGAGAAACAGGGUAUACUGGAGACAAGGGUGCUGUGGGUUUUCCUGGACCACCAGGGAUGAGAGGAAAGCCAGGACCUUCAGGCCAAACAGGUGACCCAGGACCCCAAGGGCCAUCUGGCCCUCCAGGACCAGAGGGUUUUCCUGGAGAUAUUGGGAUCCCUGGACAAAAUGGCCCUGAAGGAUCAAAGGGAUUCAUUGGAAACAGAGGGCCUUCUGGACCUCCUGGUCUCAAAGGAACUCAGGU